rnacentral:rRNA from 1 species
AUUGAACGCUGGCGGCAUGCCUUACACAUGCAAGUCGAACGGUAACAGGUUAAGCUGACGAGUGGCGAACGGGUGAGUAAUGUAUCGGAACGUGCCCAGUCGUGGGGGAUAACUGCUCGAAAGAGCAGCUAAUACCGCAUACGACCUGAGGGUGAAAGCGGGGGAGCGCAAGACCUCGCGCGAUUGGAGCGGCCGAUAUCAGAUUAGGUAGUUGGUGAGGUAAAGGCUCACCAAGCCGACGAUCUGUAUCUGGUCUGAGAGGACGACCAGCCACACUGGGACUGAGACACGGCCCAGACUCCUACGGGAGGCAGCAGUGGGGAAUUUUGGACAAUGGGCGCAAGCCUGAUCCAGCCAUGCCGCGUGCGGGAAGAAGGCCUUCGGGUUGUAAACCGCUUUUGUCAGGGAAGAAAAGGUUCUGGCUAAUACCUGGGACUCAUGACGGUACCUGAAGAAUAAGCACCGGCUAACUACGUG